GGUUGUAGCUCAGUGGUAGAGUGCUCACCUAGAACAAGAGAGGCCCUGGUUUCGAUCCUCAGCACCA
rnacentral:tRNA from 1 species